AAAGAUUUAGUUAAAAUAUAACAUUAAUUCGUCAAGUUAAAAUAAUUCUUACAAAUAAUCUUUA
rnacentral:tRNA from 1 species